rnacentral:rRNA from 1 species
AGCAGCCGCGGUAAUUCCAGCUCCAAUAGCGUAUAUUAAAGUUGUUGCAGUUAAAAAGCUCGUAGUUGAAUUUCGGGAUUGGCGCAUCGGUCGUGCCUUACGGGGUAUGAACUGGUGCAGUCAAUUUCUCACCUUCUGGAGAACCGCGAUGUCCUUAAUUGGGUGCCGCGGGGAACCAGGACCCUUUACUUUGAAAAAAUUAGAGUGUUUAAAGCAGGCUAUUUUUGCUUGAAUACAUUAGCAUGGAAUAAUAAAAUAGGACGGCAUGGUUCUAUUUUGUUGGUUUCUAGGACCACCGUAAUGAUUAAUAGGGAUAGUUGGGGGCAUUAGUAAUUCAAUUGUCAGAGGUGAAAUUCUUGGAUUUA